UGUAAACUACGCAUGACAAUUCUAAAUGCAAAUACAUACAUUGAAAUGACUGAAUAAAAAUGGUACAAUAGUGUUUAUUUUGCUGCCCUUUGGUGAUCUCCGAUGGUGUUUCCGUGUUAUCCUGUAGGAGGCAGCAGUGUCCCGUUAGUCAUUCUGUGAAAUAUUUGUUUGGAAACGAGUAAAUCAACAUGAGCUCCAUUUCCAUCCUCUGUUUAUUUCACAUCAAACGUUACAUUCACAAUUAAAUUGUUCGCGAAUGUACGCAUAAAAAAUCCCUCGUGAAAUACACGAAGUUCUUUAUUUAUGAUCAACUGACUUUGUUCACCCCAAAAGUACUGCCUCAACUUGGUUGUUUCAGCUUACUUCUAACUUUAGAAAACACCCCGCGGUUACAAGGGGCCCAGUUGAUUCAUUUUCCAAAGCCUAAAACACAGUUGACGAAGUGUCUACGAUGGAUUAAGGUUUGCGGAAGAGCACACAUACAACUAAAUGUGGACAAUAUCAACAAACACAAGGCUUUAUGUUCGAAGGCCUCACUCAGUGAUCCGUGUCCGUUUUGAAGGAGGUUCCUCUGGCCGGACGUGGCGAGAAAACACAUCACCGCGUUGCGGCCUUCAGCACACACGCCGUUACACGAUCAACCAAAACUGCUUCGCAAUCGACGCAUUGAGAACCCCUGGUGUAACUGAAUUUCCUUUGACAUGGCUCAUUAUGUUGGUGACUUUCAACGUAAAUGCACUCGCAGUACAUGAAGCAGAAUUGCGAGUGCGAUGGCGCGCGAGUGUGACCACGCCCAUCAAAUUGCAGAGACCCACCACCAGGUCGGCUAUGAAGGUGUCCUCGGUCUCACCCGAGCGGUGGCUCACCAUCACGCCCCAGCCGUUCUCCUGAGCCAUCUUACAGCUGAAAAAGAUGAUGCAUAUCCAUACAGUUUGAAACAAAAGCUGCCUACAGGCACACUCGCUGUAUCCGACGUGGGUUUGUGACGGUCAGAUCAUCGCCAACCACCUGCAUAAUACAAAUAUACGGUAAACUAUCUAUAUACCUACCUACCUACCUACGUCUGUCUGUCUAUCUAUAUCUGUCUGCCUGUCUAUUUAUCUUGCACAAAACCUUCAGGCUCCUGCUAGAAAGCAAACAAUGUCAAGAAAAGUCUACUAAAACAUCUGAACUUUGUGGUUAAUCUGAGACACUUUAAAUGGUGACAGGUGUGUUUUCUUCCAAUUUAACAUGAGUCUGAAUGUGACAGGUAUAUUCUGAAUGCAGCCAAAUCCCAGGUAGUAACUAUGUCACUGUAAUUAAUAAGUAAUAAUAAUAAUAAUAAGUAAAUAUGUAGCUAAGUAAGAAAAGCAAAGUCACAGAGAAAAUGUCAGGAAAAGCCUACUUGAAAUUGUGGCACAUAUGCUGAGUCGCAUUAUCAUGAUCUUGAAUGUAGUUAAUUGGUGGGGAACAGAGCCUCAUCCCCAUUUAUAAGAUAUGCAGUGCACACUUUUGAAACCAUAUGAUUUAAGUUGUUUUAUUGGAAACUUUUUUUAUUCAAUUGAUCUGUUCAGGUUAAUAUUAAUGCUAUAAAAAGGUUGAAAUGAUUUAGUCUCAUUGUCUAUUCAUUUUACUGGCAUUUGAACAGGGGCGUGUGGUUAAAAGAGGACCAUAUUUUCCGCACUAUAAGGCGCACCUAAAACCCUUUUUUAUUUUCUCAAAAGCCGAUGGUGCGCUUUAUAAUCCGGUGCGCCUUAUAUAUGGAUCAAUAUUGAGCCUUUAGUGCAGCACCAUUUAAUGGAUGCAUAACAUAACCCCAGCCUCUACUGUAGUGUCUAUUCUAUGCACUUUAUAAUGCGGUGGGCCUUAUAGUGCGGAAAAUACGGGAUUCUUUUCUCAUAUCUCAAAUACUGUAUAUGACUUUUACCUGAAUCCCCACUGAGGCAGUGAACUGAGUCCAAGCUGGCCAGUCAUCCUGGUCAAAGGGGUCUUCAAUGGAAACAACUGCAAGGAAAGCAGCACAUUGUUCGCUAUGAAGCUAAGUGGUCUCCAAGUCAAUUACACUUAAGUGCAAUUGCGUCUCACGUGGUUGCACACGCUCGUAUGGUCGCAAAGCGGCACAUCGUCGCCUGCCAAGUGAGCACUGUAGCACGUAAUUAAAAGCUCUUUAAGAAGUAUAAUUGUGGGGUGCUGAGGAGCCAACAGGCUAAUUGUUCUCUGCUUUUUUGUCUCUGAGGUGACAGAGGAAAUUAAACACUGACACAAAAUAAGGAAAAGUGAAAAGAGACAGCUUUAAAAAGAGUAAGGAAUGGAAUCAUAUGCUCUGUAAAAACAUGGAAUCGUUUACCUACCCACCGAUGAAGAACAAGGUGGACUCACCAUGAGCUGGUCGCCAGUCAGUCACAAGGCACAUAUCGACAUCAUCACUGAGUGAUAACUGAACCUAUGCUGCCUGCACCAAAGUCAGCGAGUCUUGUCUCCAUCUCGGAGUUCCAGAGCCUCGUAGAUGCCGGUGGAGGCGCCGCUCGGCACAGCGGCCCGGAACAGACCUGGAUUGGGGACAAAAUGGAGAAGCGGGGAAAGGAGAACGCAAAUGCUGUUAUCCUCAAGUGAGAAUCUGCUCGUCAUCGCCGAAUUCGAGAAGAUGGAGGACUGACGAAGGCUGCGGGGGUGCCGAAGCCAAACCCGGCUGUCAUCGGGCAGGAGGCAUCGUACACCCUGAACUGGUUGCCAGCCAAUCGCAAUGCACAUGGAGACAGACAACAGUCACACUCACAAUCACACCUGAGGGCAAUUUAAAGUCUCCAAUGAAUGCAUGUUUUUGGAAUGUGGGAGGAAACCGGAGUGGCCAGAGAAAACCCACACAUUGUCAUGAAGACUGGAACGGAUCAAUGGGAUUCCCAUUCCUUUCAACAAGGAAAGAUGAUUUGAGAUACAAGUGUUUUGAGUUAUAAAAUUGGUCAUUUAAAGGCA